rnacentral:rRNA from 1 species
CCUACGGGUGGCAGCAGUGAGGAAUAUUCGUCAAUGGGCGCGAGCCUGAACCAGCCAAGUAGCGUGAAGGAUGACUGCCCUACGGGUUGUAAACUUCUUUUAUAAAGGAAUAAAGUGAGGCACGUGUGCCUUUUUGUAUGUACUUUAUGAAUAAAGAUCGGCUAACUCCGUGCCAGCAGCCGCGGUAAUACGGAGGAUCCGGGCGUUAUCCGGAUUUAUUGGGUUUAAAGGGAGCGUAGAUGGGUUGUUAAGUCAGUUGUGAAAUUUUGCGGCUCAACCGUAAAAUUGCAAUUGAUACUGGCAGUCUUGAGUACAGUUGAGGUAGGCGGAAUUCGUGGUGUAGCGGUGAAAUGCUUAGAUAUAACGAAGAACUCCGAUUGCGAAGGCAGCUUACUAAGCUGACACUGACAUUGAUGCUCGAAAGUGUGGGUAUCAAACAGGAUUAGAUACCCUUGUAGUC